UCCGAAACCGUUCCGCUCGCUUCCAAGUAUAAAAAGCCAGAGCAGUUCCAGCCCUUCACGCCGUUGCCGUGCGGGCAGAAAAGACAACGGAAUCAAGCCUGUUGCUUGCGUCGCCCGUUAGCAAGAGACAUACCGGCAGACCAUCAUCAGUAUGAAGUCCUACGUCAUCUUGGCACUCGUCAUCCUGGGGCAUCUCUGCCAAAUUCACGCAGCCACGCUGAGCAAGCCGGCAAAGAACACGGACGACGCAACAAAAGAACUCACGGAAAAAAUUUCCCGUUCCCUCAUGGAGCACCGGGAAGACAUCAUCGAGGCUUUGAAGGUGCUCGAAAAGCCUGUUAACAGUUUCGGUGAUGAAACCGAUGAACAGGGGUUUCCUAUGAUUCCGGCUGUAGUUUUGGGAAUAGCGAAGGUCAUCGGAGAAGGCGCUCUAUCAGGCGCUGUUGGAGCUGCUGUGGGUUCCUUAAUUAACGACGGCUGAAUGUAUCAUCGGCGACAUCUGUUAUUGUUUUCAAAUUCAAUAAAUUACACUUUCUCUGUUAUGAGCAAGUAUGCGUGAUUAUUU